rnacentral:rRNA from 1 species
UACGUAGGCAGCGAGCGUUGUUCGGAGUUACUGGGCGUAAAGCGCGCGUAGGCGGGAAAUUAAGUGAGAAGUGAAAGGCUGGGGCUCAACCUCAUGCAGUGCUUCUCAUACUGGUUUUCUUGAGGGCGGUAGAGAAAAGUGGAAUGGCUGGUGUAGCGGUGAAAUGCGUAGAUAUCAGUCGGAACACCGGUGGCGAAGGCGGCUUUUUGGGCCGUUCCUGACGCUGAGGCGCGAAAGCCAGGGGAGCGAACGGG